GGAACUGAGACACGGUCCAGACUCCUACGGGAGGCAGCAGUGGGGAAUAUUGCACAAUGGGCGCAAGCCUGAUGCAGCCAUGCCGCGUGUAUGAAGAAGGCCUUCGGGUUGUAAAGUACUUUCAGCGGGGAGGAAGGGAGUAAAGUUAAUACCUUUGCUCAUUGACGUUACCCGCAGAAGAAGCACCGGCUAACUCCGUGCCAGCAGCCGCGGUAAUACGGAGGGUGCAAGCGUUAAUCGGAAUUACUGGGCGUAAAGCGCACGCAGGCGGUUUGUUAAGUCAGAUGUGAAAU
rnacentral:rRNA from 1 species